UCCCUGAUAGCUCAGUUGGUAAAGAAUCUGCCUACAAUGCAGGAGACCCUGGUUCGAUCCCUGGGUUGGGAA
rnacentral:tRNA from 1 species